GGACAGCAAACUGUGGUAGAGGAGCAACUAGAGAGACCUUUGCAGCCCCUCAGGGAGAUGCUUUCUGAAGUCAAGUUUUUGCAAGAAGCUGAAGCAAGUAAAAGAAGACUGUUGUUUGGAGCAUGUGGCUUGGCUAACCCGGAGGCUGACGUUACCAGCAGUCAGAAGUCUAGGAAGACGCCACCUGUUGGACAGAAGAAAACUCAAGGUGGAGUAUCUCUGGUGCCUUGACAACUAUGAUGGAUGGUGUCUUC